rnacentral:rRNA from 1 species
AUGUGCGAGUGGAAGGCGGCACAGCUCAAAUUGAAAUCUGGCCUCGCGGUCCGAGUGUAAUUGUAGAGGAUGUUUCGGUGAGUACCGUUCUAAGUUCCUUGGAACAGGGCGUCAUAGAGGGUGAGAAUCCCGUAUGUGACCGGUGUCCGAUCCCAUGUGAAACUCCUUCGACGAGUCGAGUUGUUUGGGAAUGCAGCUCAAAAUGGGUGGUAAAUUUCAUCUAAAGCUAAAUACCGGCCAGAGACCGAUAGCGCACAAGUAGAGUGAUCGAAAGAUGAAAAGCACUUUGGAAAGAGAGUUAAAAAGUACGUGAAAUUGUUGAAAGGGAAGCGCUUGCAGCCAGACUCGCCUGGGGGUGAUCAACCGUCUCUCGGGGCGGUGCACUCUCCCUCAGUCGGGCCAGCAUCGGUUCGGGCGGCCGGACAAAGGCUUCGGGAAUGUGGCUCCUCUCGGGGAGUGUUAUAGCCCGGGGCAAAAUACGGUCAGCCUGGAUCGAGGACCGCGCUUAAUGCUAGGAUGCUGGCGUAAUGGCUGCCAGCGACCCGUCUUGAAACACGGACCAAGGAGUCGAUCAUCCACGCGAGCGUUUGGGUGUAAAACCCGUGCGCGUAAUGAAAGUGAACGGAGGUGAGAACCCGCAAGGGCGCAUCAUCGACCGAUCCUGAUGUCUUCGGAUGGAUUUGAGUAUGAGUGCGGAUGAUCGGACCCGAAAGAUGGUGAACUAUGCGUGAAUAGGGUGAAGCCAGAGGAAACUCUGGUGGAGGCUCGCAGCGGUUCUGACGUGCAAUCGAUCGUCAAAUUUGCGCAUAGGGGGCGGAAGACUAAUCGAACCAUCUAGUAGCUGGUUCCUGCCGAAGUUUCCCUCAGGUAAAUACUCCUUUUUUUUUCCUUUUCACUUUAGAGCCAUAGCUAACAUUUUUACAGAAUAGCAGUAACGUUUUCAGUUUUAUGAAGUAAAGCGAACAAUUAUAGGUCCGGGUAGCGAAAUGCCGUCCGCCCUAUUCUUGAACUUUAAAUAUGUAAGAAGUCCUUGUUGCUUAGUGAACGUGGACAUUGAAUGCACCGUACCUAUGGGCCAUUUUUGGUAGCGAGACUAGCGACG